rnacentral:lncRNA from 1 species
AGCCUAGCUUAGACAGGGGCCUUGGUAAAUAUUGGAUCUGGUAAUAGUGUAAAACCAAAAUGGGGCCAAUUCACCCACCACAGUAGAACUCAUAUAACCACACAGAGGUUUUUGCAGUGACAAAGGUGUUUAUUGCAGGGCUCCAAGCAAGAAGAUUCAAGGAAGCUCAUGCUUAAGACCCCACCUCCCCUAUGGCCUGCAGAUAAGAGUUUUUAAAGACAGGAGUAAAUUUCAGGAAAGCAGAAGCUACAGGCAAAAUCAUAAAUCAGUAUAUGGAGGUCAAACAUUGGUUUUGGCCUAAAAGAGUGGGAUAUCUUGAAGCAGGAACUUACAGGUGCCAGCAGAUCCAUUCAGUGAGUCUGAGCCCAUGAAAGACAACUCAGGGACCUAUGGAGAUCUAGAAGGAGCAGGCUCACACUCUGACAUGGCCAACAAUUCGUUAAAAUUUGGACUCUUCAGUUUACAUCUGACUCAUUUAUGUCACCUGCCUGGCCCUUCAACAGAAAAAUAAGAGAGCCUUGCUCUGGAUGAUAAGCUUCUACCAACAGAGCCUCUGACUUAUGUGCUACACUUAGCACAAUAGUUGAUGAACAGUAAGUGCUCAGAGGUUUCUUACCUAUUGAAGUCUGACUCUUGAACUUGAGCUGGGUUUUGCUCGUUUUAGCCUAAUAUAUCAGAUCACAAAAAUCAUUCUCACUAAAAACAAGUCAAGCCAAAAAAAAUGAGGUAAAGUAGGAUUUCUCUUUGAUGUUUAUUAAUACUACACUAGAAGUCUCAGUAACAG